GCCCGGGUAGUCUAGUGGUAUGAUUCGCGCUUAGGGUGCGCGAGGUCCCCGUCUAUCCCGGGUUCGGGCC
rnacentral:tRNA from 1 species